rnacentral:rRNA from 1 species
UACGAAGGGGGCUAGCGUUGCUCGGAAUCACUGGGCGUAAAGCGCACGUAGGCGGAUUCUUAAGUCAGGGGUGAAAUCCUGGAGCUCAACUCCAGAACUGCCUUUGAUACUGGGAAUCUCGAGUCCGGGAGAGGUGAGUGGAACUCCGAGUGUAGAGGUGAAAUUCGUAGAUAUUCGCAAGAACACCAGUGGCGAAGGCGGCUCACUGGCCCGGUACUGACGCUGAGGUGCGAAAGCGUGGGGAGCAAACAGG